GCUGGGCGUGGUGGUGCAUGCCUGUAAUCCCAGCAACUAGGGAGGCUGAGGCAGAGGAUCAUGAGUUCAAACAGCCUCAG
rnacentral:sRNA from 1 species